GACGAACGCUGGCGGCGUGCCUAACACAUGCAAGUCGAACGGAGAAUUGCGCUGAACUUGAUAUUAGCUUGCUAAAGGAAAGUUCUUGUAAUUCUUAGUGGCGGACGGGUGAGUAACGCGUGAGCAACCUGCCUUACAGAGGGGGACAACAUUGGGAAACCGAUGCUAAUACCGCAUAACGUAUUUUUAAGGCAUCUUAGAAAUACCAAAGGAGCAAUCCGCUGUAAGAUGGGCUCGCGUCCGAUUAGAUAGUUGGCGGGGUAACGGCCCACCAAGUCGACGAUCGGUAGCCGGACUGAGAGGUUGAACGGCCACAUUGGGACUGAGACACGGCCCAG
rnacentral:rRNA from 1 species